CAAGAUCCUGUCUUUGGGAGAGAUCGAGAGCCAGGGGAGCUACCCCUCUGGGGAUGACAUAGGACUGGAAAGCUAAUGCAGCUCUUAACUCCCAGUUACAAGCAUGUGUUUCCUAACAUGAAAACAGUUUCAAAGAAGAAAGGUGCAUGUCUCCUUUUCUUUUGGAAGUGAUAGGUGAUGAGGGGAUUCCUGAGAAACAGAACAUCACAGAAACAAGGCACCCACCAUCUUGGAACCAAAAAGAAGCCUUCACAAGACAGCAAUACCAGGA